AACCAAUGAAUUUAGUCAUUCUUUACGGUAAAAAGACAGUUAAGCAAUGUAGAUGAUCAUCAGAUCUUUAGUGCAGAAGUAAAAUUCAUAUACUAGUAGUUAUAUCGGAUAUGGUUUAUAGGGUGCUGAAUCUGUGAUAGCUUUAAGGGAAACUGGGAUUGGAUACCCCAUUAUUUUUAGUUGUAAAUUUAAUUUAUGUUUACCAGAGUACUACGAACAAAAAGUUUAAAACUCAAAGGGCUUGGCGGUGUUUUAGACCUCUCAGGGGAACCUGUCUCAUAAUCGACAAUCCACGUUAGACCUAACCUUUUAUAGCAAUACAGUUUGUAUACCGUCGUCGUCAGGUAACUUCUUAAAAUAUAGUAGUUAGCUCGAAAAUUAGAUUAAUUAAAACGUCAGAUCAAGGUGCAGCUAAUGAAAAGGUGAGGAUGGGUUACAAUUACAGAUUUGUAAUUAUGGAAAAAUACCUGGAAAUAAAGUAUUAUUAAAGGAGGACUUGAAAGUAAUUCUAAUUAUAUAAAUAGGAUGAAUAAGGCCCUGAAACGUGC
rnacentral:rRNA from 1 species